AAGUGGCAUUAUUUCCGUGGAAUAUUAUCACUGAUUCUCUUCUUUCAUCCAACCUGUUUGGCAUAUCAGCAUCGUACCUCAUCGCAUCACUAUUUGCAUACCAAUUUUUCUUCUUCUUCUUCUUCUUGAGUUUCAUACACGUGCAAAUUUCCGAGCUUCGCAGAAUCUUCUUCUUCAGUUUCUUACAAGUGUGUAAUAUCAAAGGAUAAGAUACGAUAUUGUACUUCAGUUCCAUUCAACAAUGGCCUAUUUGGGUUCAAUGGGAUUGUCCCAUGGCGUUAGGCUAUUAUACACUAGUGAUAGAAAAUGUAGUUUUUGUCAGAGGCCCUUGCCUGGUGACCGGUUGUGUUUUGUUACAAUCAAUCUUUCACCUGUUAGUUUGAGGCAGAAUUCUUCAGCACUCCUAUUUUCUGGAUUACAUGCCCCACUUAAGCCUGUACCUUCUAGAUGUAAUGUUUUGCUGUGUCGGUCUGUCCUAACGCCAGCUGGAGGGUUUGAGGCGCCGCUAGUGAAAGCAGCUACUAUUUCUUUGUCAAGGUCAUAUAAUGCUAUAUCAAGACCAAUUUUGCUUCAAUUGAUCCCUGCCCUUGGUAUCAUUGGCUUUGCUUUCUUUGGUCUUGAGCCGUUCCUGCGCUUGAGCAGGGUUCUAUUUCUCCAAGAUAGAGUUGAUAGAAGUUGGAAGAAAAGUAGUUCACGUUAUAUUAUGACCUCUUAUUUGCAACCUUUGCUGCUGUGGAUUGGGGUAAUGCUUAUCUGCAGGGAUUUAGAUCCACUAGUCCUACAAUCAGAAACCGGUCAGAUUAUGAAGCAACGAUUGCUGAGUUUUGUACGAUCUUUGUCAACCGUGCUUACAUUUGCUUACUGUUCUUCAAGAUUAAUUCGACAAGCACAGAAAUUCUACAUGGACACAGAUGACUCCAGUGAUGAAAAAAAUAUGAGCAUUGAUCUUAUUGGGAAAGCUGUAUAUACAGCAAUAUGGGUCGCUGCUGUCUCAUUGUUCAUGGAGUUGAUUGGUUUCUCCACGCAGAAGUGGUUGACUGCUGGUGGUUUGGGCACAGUAUUACUUUCCCUUGCAGGUCGUGAGAUAUUUACAAACUUCCUUUCAAGUGUAAUGAUCCACGCAACUCGUCCAUUUGUGGUGAAUGAGCGGAUUAAAACGAAGAUUAAAGGAUAUGAGGUUUCUGGUAAAGUUGAGCAUGUGGGAUGGUGGUCACCAACACUAGUUAGAGGUGCUGAUUGUGAAGCAGUUCAUAUUCCUAAUCACAAGUUGAGUGUAAAUGUUGUGAGGAAUCUUAGUAUGAAAUCUCAUUGGCGCAUUAAGACUCAUCUUGCUAUUAGUCACAUGGAUGUUAGCAAGAUUAAUAGUAUCAUAGCUGAUAUGCGGAAGGUUUUGGCGAAAAAUCCUCAAGUAGAGCAGAAAAAAUUGCACAGAAGGGUUUUUUUGGAGGAUAUCAAUCCAGAAAAUCAGGCUCUUAUGAUAUUGGUCUCUUGCUUUGUUAAAACUUCACAUUCUGAAGAGUACCUCCGUGUUAAGGAGGCAAUUCUCUUGGAUCUGCUAAGAGUCAUCAGUCAUCACGGAGCUCGGCUAGCCACUCCCAUUCGCACAGUUAUUAAGAUGUACAGCGAUGUGGAUUUUGAAAUUGAUCCAUUUGAUGACACUACUUUCACUCGUUCCAGAGCAAAGGCAAAGCGUACAUUCCCACUUACAGAUCCAUCUCAAAAUUAAGCCUUCAAUUCACUCAAUCGUUACAAAUGAAUGCGAUGGUUGACAAAACCCUGCUGCCGACUUCAAGGUAGAAUCUGAUAAAUUUGCUGUGACGUGGACCCUCUCAUCCAGUGGAAACUCCAAGGAUAAACUAAAGGCAAUAUCUCAAGCUAAAAUCCAGAAUAUGUGUUCUUAUACUUUAGUCCAGAAGACCUCCAAAUCCCUAGAGCCCAAAAAGGAAAGAGCAGGAAAUGUAGAAAAGGGAACAUCACCAAAUAUUGUUACAUGCAGUGAGUCUUGGUUAUCAAAACAAGAUAAAGAGAUCUGCUGUGUACUUAUGAUCAGUUAUAUAAUGUUUGGAUCGGCUUCUUUUUCAUCAGAAUCAGUUCUAAAAUCCAGGAGCUACUCACAUAAGUUUCUACUCAUAAUUGAUUUCGUCUCCAGAGUCAUUUGUAUAAGAGUUUACAAACAUGCACUUAGUUCUUCCUUUGAACGGAAUACUAUACCUGAUGCUGUCCUGGUGAGCUCGAAGUAAACCCUUACCAGUGAUUAAGAAAUAAUGCCAUCUAUUCCUCUGGAAUCACUGGAAUUUGCUUCCAACAGACUGGUAGAGAAUCUUCUAUUAGCAAAGAUAAGGAUGGUGAGGAUCUGUCUCCAUUUUCUACUCCCAAUCAGAACCUCUGAAUAACAAACAAAGCUUUUUGGCGAUAGAACAGAACUCUGCAUCUCCCUUUUUUGUUAGUUUGUUAACUGUUAGUUGAUGGUUAGUUAGAAAAUGAGCUAUCUGGUAAAGUUAGUUUAAUGUUAGAUUAGGUACUUUAGGCAUUCCACUAUAAAUGUGUAAUUGUUGUAUCAUUUCCAUCAUCUUUGAAUCAAUAAGAAAUUCCCAUUGUUGGAUUCUCUUUCAAAAAUUAUAAAA